GCUUGGGAAGGAUAAGACAGAUCCAUAUGGCACGGGACAGGGACGCUGCUGCCCUGGUGCAGCAAGCAGGGCUCCUCUGCAUCCUCCCACCCCUCUUAUUUCCCCGCACCUCCCCGACUGAAGCCAACCUCCAGCGCUGCUAAUCCAUCCCAUGGCAGCAUCCCGCUGCUCGCACCUGUGGGGCACGCCGGCCAGCUGGUGUUAAUUGCUGAAAGUUGCUUUCUGAAGGCAGCCCUCCUUGCACAGCAUCCCGCAUCCUAUCCUGCUAAGGAAGGUGCGUUCCCUCUGCAGGAGCCGGCUGGAGCAGGAGCGCAGGAGAUCGGUGGGGAUGCCGGAGCGCAGCAGUGGGUUGGCACCGGCAGCCCCAUGGAGUUUGAGCCGGGCACGGCGGGCUUCUUCCCCCCCGAGGAAAUAUCUCAGCUACCAGCAUCACAGUGCUGAGCCAAAGCGUCCCGGCAGUGCGCAAUGAGCAGUGGGGAAACGUGGUGGUUAAAGACAGCCUCCCAAGAGCCUGGCGGGAUUGACGAGAGCAGCGGAGGCAUCCAACGAGACAAGGAGCGCGGCUGUUUCUGCUGCACUAAGAAGAAAGCCACAAUUGGACACAGUGCACUCAGAGCAAACUUGAGGACUUUUCAUCCCCACGAUGGGGCUGGAAGGUUCUGCUCUUCAAUAUUAUGUUCCAGCACUUCAGCAGAAAGUAAACCAGGCACAAGAAAACAGCACUGGCUUAUAAAGGAGGAAAAAAAAAAAAAAAAGAGCUAACGUAUCACUUAUGCUGAAUAUACAGCACCAAGCCCUUCAGUCUCCAUUUUAAGUUCCUGAGCACAUGAUAAAAACCACGGGUACAAGCCACCAAAUAUUGGAGGGGAAAUGAGCAACCCCCGGUGCAGCACCUGUGCCCCCCUCCUGCCAAGGAAAGCUCAGAUUUGAGCAAGAAACACAGCCUAAACAUUAAAAAAAAAAGGUAAUAAAAAAAAUAGGAAACAAAACAACACACACACACCCCUCAAGAAAAAAAAAAACAGCACACAAAACAAAACAGAGCAUUUCACAAACUUGGCACCCAAGCUCCAAAGGACUCGUGAGGGAAUACAAAUAGCUUCCAAUCUCUAAAUAUUCAAAGGAUUAGUAGGGCAGUAAGAAAAUAAAUAAAUAAAAAAUAUUAAAUAAGGAGUCUGGCUCCGACCCGACUGGAAAAUGUCUUUCUGAGCCAAGCUGACACAGCUUGGCUCGGGGAGCUGUUUUGUUUUCACACUGUAGUAGCGCAGGAGCGGUGCCCGCUGCCUUCCCGGGACAGCCCCGCGCUGUUUCUUCCCCUGGUCACUGAAUGAACUGCAGCACGAGAGCAGAGCCCACGCGGGAGCCCAACAGCACCACGCGGGACACGACACGGCCACGACCCGCAGCACGGCCCGCCCGCCGGGACGCGUGGCUGAGAGUGAAAUCGGGCUGAGGUUUUCAGAAAGGACUUUCUGCGGCGCUGCCGGAUCGCAAUAUCAAAAGCGUCCAGUCAUAAUGGCAGAGAGGUAGAGGAACUCUCCGAGCGUGGCCACAGUCAUAGCGGGAGCCGGUGCUGCCCCAGGGCAGGCAGCCCCCCUCUGUGUGAGCCACGGAUGGGCGCUCUGCACGCCUCCAGGCUGCCCCAACGCUGGGACUGCGGCCGCCAGACGGCUGUAAUGAGUAAUUCAGGCUGCUGGGGAUGGGGCCAUCAAUAGAGCGGGACCGUAGGUGGUGGGUGCCCCACCCUUGGGGACACGUGAGGUCUGAGCAUCUCUGCUCGCUGCAGGGCAGUUGGACCUGGUGGCCUUGAUGGUCCCUUCCAACCUCCUCUAAUUGUGCCAAAGCGAAGUCUGUAGCCCGAAGCCCAGGAGGUGUCUGCCAAGUUUCACUGCCCAAUGUCACCCAGGGAGCAGGAGCUGCCACCUCCACCCAGCACCCACACCCAGGCGCAGCCCUGAGAAACAGCGUGGCACAGGGAUGAUGCAUGGCCCAGCAAAGCAACGCAGCCGUGCCCACACUCACAGGUGGAAACCAAACCACCUUCCAGGCUUUGUAACGCAAAUCCCCUCCAACACAACCACAGGCCAGGCAGGCAGAGAGGAGCACCCAGCCCGCACCACACCAACACACACACCUCCACCUUCUCGCUUCAAGGCUUUCCCUGCUGCACCCAGAGGAUUUCCCCCUUUUCCAUGCAAGGCUGAGACGAAACCGCUCCUUUCCCCUCCGUGCCUCACCCGAAACCAGCAAGGACUUAAGAGCAGCGGGGCCGUGCAGCUCACAAACACGUAUGCACGCACGCACACACACAAACAGCCGCCUCCCCCGACUCGCUGCCGGGUGAUGGAAGCGCACACUGCGCAGGAGAGCACAGCGACGUCCCGCAGGCACGGGGAGCGCUCACCCGCAGGGCGCUGCCUGCCCCGCGCAAGCAAACCCACGGGUCGGCUCCCACCGAGAGCCAAACAUCCGCCGGAGAUUCCUCGGGCAGCAGCAGACAGCUGCCUGCGGGGCUCGGGUGACAUUCUUCGGGCACUCCCACGGGCAGGCCGCCCCCAAGCACGGCACGGCGCGGCUUUCCGUGCCCGCAAAGCGCAGCGCGCCCCAGGCGGAGCGGCGGGCGCCGUCCGGGCGGUGCCACGCGAGCGCUCGUUGUGAAACUCGCAGCAAGCCGUAAGGACGGCGGUAAGGUCAGAAAACCUUUCCUAGGGGCACGUCGCAGUCAGCGCUGCAGCUGUAACCACAGACCUUCACCAAGAGGGAAAAAAAAAAAAAAACAACAACCAAAGCAAACAGCACCGCGCGGCCAGACGCGCCCGGCCGGCCGCCAUCCCCGCAGCGCUACCUGCCAGCCGCCGCCCGCCCCGCGCCGCCCCGCCCGGCACUCACCCAUGGCGCUCAGGUAGUGGCUGACGGCCUGGCACGGCGGGCUGGGGGUCUGCGUGGCCUUAUCGCAGCUCAUGGGCGCGGGGCUGCGCUCGGCCUCGAAGGAGAAGUACCCGCUGGAGGAGCGCGGCAGCAGCGGGGACCUCCGCACGAAGAAGAAGAGCGGCGAGCGGAUGGCGAACGGGCCGGGGCUGCCGGGCGAGGCGGGCCGGGCGGCGCCGGGCAGCGCGGCGGGGGCUCCGGGCCGCAG
rnacentral:lncRNA from 1 species